rnacentral:rRNA from 1 species
GCCCAAGAGAUCGGGAUAACACCUGGAAACAGAUGCUAAUACCGGAUAACAACAGAUGAUGCCUAUCAACUGUUUAAAAGAUGGUUCUGCUAUCACUCUUGGAUGGACCUGCGGUGCAUUAGCUAGUUGGUAGGGUAACGGCCUACCAAGGCGAUGAUGCAUAGCCGAGUUGAGAGACUGAUCGGCCACAUUGGGACUGAGACACGGCCCAGACUCCUACGGGAGGCAGCAGCC